CAGUGGAGGUAUAGAAUUACCCUGGAGUGCUGAUCGCGCUAUUCAGCAGUUGGGAAGAACUCACCGUUCAAAUCAAGCUUCUGCACCAGAGUAUAGAUUUGCUUCCACUGUUAUUCUAAUCCAUGGAGAUCUAGGCAGCCAAAGUAUGAAUGGAACGUUCAAACAUUAUGCUGCAUUUCAUGUUCAGCGGAGGGUGACCGGGGUCUUAUUAUAUCAGAAGUUGCAGACAAGAUCCAAACUGCUGGUCUUCCAGACCCGACAGCAAACAUGACAGCGGAAGCAUCAAUUGCUGCUGCCUUGUUAAGGUUUCCAAGCUUUUUGAGAGUACAGCUACACCAACUUAUUACAAGAACUAAUGGAAUCUUAGAUCGAGAAGUUGAGGAUUUUGAUAAAGACGAAGCAAACGGAGAUGGAGAUUGGAGGUGAUAAUAAACAGUUUUUGAAGUUGCUAAUAAAUAUAUAUACGGACACCCUACAACAAUUCUGGGUAUUUACGAGAGAAAGUUUCCCACCUUUAUAUCUAGUUUGUGUUUAUAUAUAAAUCUACAGUGUCUUGAUGCAAAGAUUAGUUAGUGAUGGUAACGAAAUUUAAUUUCAUUUGGCAGACAAUGAAAAAUGUGCCAUCAAUACCCUCCUCCACACCGCUCUUGUAAUUUCAAAUACAUCUCUCAUUAAGAUACCCCUCCAAGCACAAAACCUCUGGUCGAGUCAUCAAAU